CGCCUUGCCAGCCCGCUCAGAAACUUAAAGGAAUUGAGGGGCCCGCACAAGCGGUGGAGCAUGUGGUUUAAUUCGAUGAUACGCGAGGAACCUUACCUGGGCUCAAAUGUAUGUUGACGUAUUCUGAAAGGGAUACUUCUUCGGACAAUAUACGAGGUGCUGCAUGGUUGUCGUCAGCUCGUGCCGUGAGGUGUCGGGUUAAGUCCCAUAACGAGCGCAACCCCUACCUUUAGUUGCCAUCAGGUUAAGCUGGGGACUCUAAAGGAACUGCCUACGCAAGUAGUGAGGAAGGCGGGGAUGACGUCAAAUCAGCACGGCCCUUACGUCCAGGGCUACACACGUGCUACAAUGGCCGAUACAGAGGGCAGCUACCUGGUGACAGGAUGCAAAUCUCCAAAGUCGGUCUCAGUUCGGAUCGGAGUCUGCAACCCGACUCCGUGAAGUUGGAUUCGCUAGUAAUCGCGCAUCAGCCAUGGCGCGGUGAAUACGUUCCCGGGCCUU
rnacentral:rRNA from 1 species